GAGUUUGAUCCUGGCUCAGGACGAACGCUGGCGGCGUGCCUAAUACAUGCAAGUCGAGCGGAGUUAAUCGGGAGCUUGCUCCUGAUUAACUUAGCGGCGGACGGGUGAGUAACACGUAGGCAACCUGCCCGUAAGACCGGGAUAACUACCGGAAACGGUAGCUAAUACCGGAUAAUCAAGCUUCUCGCAUGAGAGGCUUGGGAAAGGCGGUUCUGAAUUUAUUCAGGGCUGUCACUUACGGAUGGGCCUGCGGCGCAUUAGCUAGUUGGUGGGGUAACGGCUCACCAAGGCGACGAUGCGUAGCCGACCUGAGAGGGUGAACGGCCACACUGGGACUGAGACACGGCCCAGACUCCUACGGGAGGCAGCAGUAGGGAAUCUUCCGCAAUGGACGAAAGUCUGACGGAGCAACGCCGCGUGAGUGAUGAAGGUUUUCGGAUCGUAAAGCUCUGUUGCCAGGGAAGAACGUCCUGUAGAGUAACUGCUACAGGAGUGACGGUACCUGAGAAGAAAGCCCCGGCUAACUACGUGCCAGCAGCCGCGGUAAUACGUAGGGGGCAAGCGUUGUCC
rnacentral:ncRNA from 1 species